rnacentral:lncRNA from 1 species
ACGUCCCUGGCUUUAUCAUCAUCAAAGAAGCACCUCCAGAUGCAGCCUACAAUCCAAAACCGAGCAGAAACAAAUUUGGGAUAAGACUCUUACUUUAUGACAACUUCGCAUGUGCUAACUUGUUUUGUUUCAGUGUGUGUGAAUCGGGUUUGGGGAAUGCAUCAGGAGUAUGGAGAGCCCAACGUAUCAGUUCCUUCUACCAAACAAAUCCAGUCAGCAACAAUGCCUAACAAAGAGGCUUGCAAGGUAAGUGUAAUCUGAUUAUCAACGUUAAUGUUACUGACUUGGCUCCUUUUGUUGCAGAUGAGCUAGAUUUGAGGACAAAUCCUUUUCAAGAGGGAGGGGAUGAUAUGAUCAUGGACCAGCCAAACAAAGAAGAUAAUGAGAGCAUGGAUGAUCUUGCUGAUGGAGGAGCUCUAGCCAUAUCUGAAGGUCCUAUGACUCGAGCCAGAAGCAAGCAACUCAAAGAAGCCAUUGGAGGAUUACUUAAGACAUCACUGAAGCAAGAAGAGAGUCUUGGAAGAAGCUUGAUCAACCAAGACACACUUGCCACAAUUCAAGCCAUCUCAGCUCCAAGAUAGACAUCAAAUGAGCAAGUAACAUAUGUGUGCUCUUUUUCCCUAUCUUUGGUUUUGUCCCACUGGGUUUUCCAAAGAUAGGUUUUUAAUGAGGCCAUAUGUUGCUUUCCUAUCACUCAUUUGAUGAUCUCAGUUCAAGACUUUAUUUUAAUUAUUUAUCUUUGUUAACAUGAAGCAGAAUUAGGCUGCUAGACUUGAGAAUUAGGCUGCUAGACUUGAGAAUUAAGCUGCCAGACUUGAGAACCCUUAUAAGGUUUUAUAAAGUUUUUAUAAGAUUUUAUAAGGUUUAUUUUUAAGGCCCAUUUAGAGACCAAGGAGCCUGUUCCUUGCCUUCUCUAUAAAUACAAGGUUUUUAUAAGGUUUUAUAAGGUUUAUUUUAAGGCCCAUUUAGAGACCAAGGAGCCUGUUCCUUGCCUUCUCUAUAAAGUUUUUAUAAGAUUUUAUAAGGUUUAUUUUUAAGGCCCAUUUAGAGACCAAGGAGCCUGUUCCUUGCCUUCUCUAUAAAUAUGUGUCUGAAAACCCUAAUAGAUCUAUCCAAUCUUUAUUUCUAAACUCUUGUUUCUCUCUAGUCGGCCACAAGCUUGUCUUGUAGAUCUGAGAUUUCUUGAGUCUUUGUUAGUGUGUCAUAUCUAACAAAACCACAAGAGUGAUUGUCUUGGUGUGUCAUAUCCAAGGGAUUCACUUAGGAGUAUCAAGGAGACCUCUCACAUCUCUUUGUGUCACCAUUCAUUCCACAAAUCUUGAAGCAGAUUGAGUCUUUGAUUCUCUGUUUGCAAGGAUCUAUCCCAUUCCAACCAGAGAAGCAUCCUAGGAGUGUAUUAUGUGGUAUCAGAGCAACUCUGGCUAGCGAAGUUCUCGUUUUCUUUAAGUUUUCACUCAAAUCUGUCUCUUGGUUUCAUAAGAAGCAUCCUAGGAGUGUAUUACAUAAAGUGGUGGAGAAUCACCAGGAAGUUGAAUAAAUCUCAUAGGAGUUGGCAUGAAGUUAUGUGGUAUCAGAGCAACUCUGGCUAGCGAAGUUCUCGUUUUCUUUAAGUUUUCACUCAAAUCUGUCUCUUGGUUUCAUAACUAUUGAUAGAUCUGAGUUUUGUUGUGUUGUUUCUGUCGAUUUGAUUCACUCUGAGUUCAGUAUUGCAAGAUCUGUUGCUGUGUGUUUUUAAAUUGAUAGAUCUGAAAGUUUCUAUUUUAGAUCUGUGAUAGAUCUGAUCAUCUCUUGUUGUUUCUUUGAUUGAUCUAUGAUUGUGUUGUUGAGUUUUAAUAGAUUCAAGCUUGUUGAUCUCGUUUCUGAUAAAAACUUUUUAUAUUCUUGUUGCAGAAGUAAUCGAUUUGCUUAAUCUGUUUCUGUUUUGGAUUUGUGUGAUUCCGAUCUGUUCGUAUUGCUUUGAAUAUAAUCUAUCUUGUUUGGUUGAUUAGAUUUCGAAUUUAAUCUGUCUCUGUUUAAGAUUGAUCGAUCAUAUUGCGUUGGUGAAUUGUUCUGAUUAUCAAACUGUUUUAUUUGAUUUGCUUGUCGUUAUAAAAUUGAUCUGUUGUUAAUUCUGAGUGUUGUUUCUCUUAGAACUAGUUACUGGUUUCUGUUUUAUUUGUGUCUCAGGUACCAACGGAGAAGGAGCACAAAGGAAAACAUCAGCCAAAGAAAAAUAGAGAAUGCUCAAGAUCAACCAGAGAUGAGUACAGGCAAAAAGAGUUUGACCAGUUUGACAGGAACCGGAAGCAUGCUGUCUAUGAAUUUCAAAUCCCUCCAUUCCAUGGCAUGGCGGCUCCUGAAGCUUAUGUGAAGUGGGAAAAGAAGAUUGAGUUGAUUUUCAGUAGUCAACACUAUGCUGAAAGAAAGAAGAUUCAAAUGGCUACUGCUGAGUUUUGUGGUCAUGCUUUAAGAUGGUGGAAUCAGUUGAUAAAGUGCAGAAGACUUGAUGGAAAAGAACCAGUGGAAACAUGGCUUAAGCUGAGGGCUUUGAUGCGUAGAGAGUACGUUCCAAGACAGUACCACAAGGAAGUUUUUCAAAAGCGGCCUGAGACAAAGCUAUGUUCUUCAUUAUCAGUUCAGAAACAACCAGACCGCAAGAGAUCAAGUCCAUCUAGUAACCUGGUUUCAUCAAGCAAAACAUCAACCCAUUCCUUUGAAGAUAGCAUAAGGAAGGCAAUUUCACAAGCGUUUAGGGAUGUGAAGAAACAAUUUAAACAGUCCAAGACUAUAUCUCCAUCCUUAGAAGUACAGAACCAAGCGCCUUCCUCAACUGUCUCAGAACUCAAAGAUGCAGAACCAGACUCAGUUGCACAAUCAGACUUGGCUGCACUACUUCAAGAAGAUCAAACUGAGAUUCCAACAAUCACCAUUCAGAAAGAUGAUCAACCCAUCAAGGACGACCUGAUUCUCUUCGAACAGGAUGUAAUAGAAGAGGAGGCACCCAUGAAAUCAAAAUCAGACAGUGGAGUAGAGCAUCUAUUUGUCACUGAUUCAAACGGUUUCCAAAGGACAUUCUUGGGUACUUUUCUCAUCAGUCCUUUUUUGUGGAACAAGACCAGAGCAGUAGAGAUUUCAAGACACGAACUGGGCAUGGAACAUGUUGUAUUUGAUCCUGGAGGAGAGUUGUGGAAUCACAGGAACAAUCCCUUAGUGAUUGAGAAGAAAUCGGCAGCAACAACAAUUGUUUUUGAUGAUCUUUUACCCUCUGAAGCUAAAGGGAUGCACGUCUCUGCUCAGCAAGAGUUUCACUACGAAACCAAUUGGAGAAUGUUACCCACUCUUUCCUGGAUCCAACAAACCAGAAAACGCAGCAAAUGGUCUCCUGAUCAUCAAGAUAUUGUCAAUUCCGCAAAACAUAUCGGUUUAGCCAAAUUCUGUGAGCUGCUUAUAUCAGAUUGGGGUGGAAGGUUACAGUUCUACUUGUGGAAACCUGGAGCAUAUGCCAGCAUACUUAUCAUCCUUGGAGAGUGCUCUGCUCGAGGUAGAACCAGUUGGGUAAUAAAGAGUUGGAAGCUGAUCAAAAUGCCUUGCUUCUUGAUCAUGUCAAGGUGUGGAAGCCACCAGAUUUGCAAAAGCUUCAAUACCAUUUCAGAGAUUAUCAAACCAAGAGUGGAGAUGGAGAUUUCACUAGAGUAAAUGGUGAAGUGAUUACUGGAAUAGGAGGAGAACUCAUUUUUUCUUCUCGAAUCAAGGAGAAACCACUAGAUGGAAUCAGUCUACAUCAAUCUCCAAAUAAACCAACCCGAGGUAAUUAUCUAGAUUCAAAGAAACGCAUGAAACCUGAUUUGCUUUCUAUUGGUACAGGUCAAACAGUUCUGAGUACUAGAAUUUUCGAAAAGAGAGACUAUAGUAAUGAUCAGAGUAUCAAGAAUGGAUCUUUGGCUAAAUUGGAGAUGCAACAAUCAAAUCUUGGAAGCUGUCUAGCCGCCAACUCUGACAUAGGAGCAGUCCGAGGAUCAUAUAUUGGAGAUGCAACAAUCAAAUCUUGGAAGCUGUCUAGCCGCCAGCUUUGACAUAGGAGCAGUCCGAGGAUCAUAUCUCAACAACCAAAAGGAAUUAAGCAACAAACUCGACUGCAAUAGAAACUUAACUCAUCUGGGUCUCACGUCGAAUUGGAAUCAUGUCCAAAGCUUCUCAGGUGAAAUAGUUAUGAGUUUUAGAAGUCGGGUGAUCCUGUGUUUGCUUUGUUUGAAAUUUUCUGAGUUUAGAACAUCUCAAUUCUAUCUAUGGCGACCAGGUGAGUAUGUUAAUGUAAGUGAUCAUGUUCUCAAGAAUUCUUUUAUCACUGAUUAUACAGAUAUGAUGCACUUGUUUUUGUCAAAAGAGCCAUGUGCAGAUUUUAAGAGAGCUGGGAAGCAUAUAAGAAGAAACUACAAAAAUGAGGAAGAUAAGAGAUUCAAACCACCUGAUCAAGACCAGGAUAAUCACCAAGACGUCCCUGGCUUUAUCAUCAUCAAAGAAGCACCUCCAGAUGCAGCCUACAAUCCAAAACCGAGCAGAAACAAAUUUGGGAUAAGACUCUUACUUUAUGACAACUUCGCAUGUGCUAACUUGUUUUGUUUCAGUGUGUGUGAAUCGGGUUUGGGGAAUGCAUCAGGAGUAUGGAGAGCCCAACGUAUCAGUUCCUUCUACCAAACAAAUCCAGUCAGCAACAAUGCCUA